GUGGGGGAGAGUAGGCAGUUAUUUGUGGGGGAGGUGGGCAGUUACUGGUUAUUUGUAGGGCUAAAGUUUCAGUACGAAUGCUGAAAAAUGUUUUGUGGAUGGAUGCUGGCGAUAGUAGCUCAGUAGAAAUGUGCUUAGUGCCAGGCAAGUACAUACUUCAAAAUCGUUUAAAUGGUACAGUUCACGUUCUGUAUGUUUUACUUUGAUUUAAAGCAAGUAUUUUGAAGCCUGGUAGGUGCUUCUGACUGAUGCAUAUUAGCGUUCAGAGAGCAUCUCUCUAGGGUCUGAGGGAUGGCUGCUUGUCCAUUCAUCUGAGCAUUAACUCAUCAUUAUUUGUCAUCUAUUGAAUAUUGAAGACUCAGCUCUGGGUGAGCAUCAUUUCUGCCCCUCGAAGUACAGACUUCAAUUUGGAAACAGACAUUAAGCAAGAACUCGAUGGGAAGACCCCAUUGCGGAAGACACUACUACAUAUAAUAGGACAUAGAGUCAUUAAGCUGGUUCCACCUGGAAGCUUCAUCCCUACAGACAGACCUUCUUCACUGAGUGCGAAAGACAGCUGGUGUAACUCUAAAAUCUCAGCCUCAGAGCUUAGCCCUCCUACCAGGCGGACACGCUAUCCUUUGCCUAGCAUGGAUCCAUCCCAGGGCAAGACUUCCAUUGACCCUGUUCAGGCCAUCUGCAAAUUCCUUCACUAACGGAGAGACAAGGAAGAGGCAGCCUUGGGAGAGAUGUAGACAAGAAAGCCGAGCAGAUUCUCAGCAGGCAGGAGCAGUAACCACAGCCACACUUUGACUCGGUCUAAGGACAGCACUAGGUAGCAAAAGGCUCCCCACACACUAUGCAGUUCUGUGGUUAUUGCCGCCACUGGUGACCAACUGUACUCCUUGUUUCACAUUGCCAGAGUGGAAGGGACUCGAACACGCCCCUUUAGAAGGAACUUGGACCUGAAGUCUGUGGAAAUCUCCAACCGAAGCAACCUCGGCCUACUUUGUCUUUGGAGCGGACACCACAUUAUCUAAACAUUUUCAUCGUCUGCUGCUGCUUCCAGCUCCCUCCUCCCUGACUCUGCCUCAUCUGUCAGCAGCCCUUGUUUCUUCCCCACCCUAAGGUAUAAGAACAUGAGGUGCCCAGAUGUACGGCUGUUUACAUCGCGCAGAACAUGAGGCCCUGCUGGUGGCUCCCUGCUCAUCCCUGGCUCCUUCCUUGAAGCAGUCAGGGCCUCUCAUGAUUGCUACAAGCCAAAUGGUCACGGACAAGCCUAGUCAUUACGCUGCCUCCUCCCCUUGACUCACCGCAGACCUGACUGCCUCACAUAUCUGGUUUCCUCAUCAGAAAGAAGCCUGAGGUUUCUUCGCCUUUUGAUUGACUGUUAAAUGAAAGCCAGGCCCUUUGGUUUGCUGUGGGGUUUUUUGUUUGUUUGGUUUUCUGUAGGAUGUCAUGCUUAAUUCAUCUCUGGCCGGCCUCCAUGGACCAGCCAUGAUACUUGGCACCUUUUAUCCUUUGUCUCUGGGAUCCCUUCCUGUACCCCAGCCCCACCUUAGUGAGAAGCAUUCUUCCCACUGAGGCUCACCAAAUACCUCCUGCCUAUAUGUGAACUUGGGCCAACAUUGCAAACUACCCAGAGGCCAGGGCUUUGAGAAGUAAUGGCAAUGCUUGUCCAAAAUAGUUGGACAUCCCUGCGCUAAAGAGAGCGAAAUCACAAAAUAUGCACCAAAGAAAUGGAGCUACGAGACUUUCAUUUUCAGAUGACUCAUUCCCCAGCUGCAGGAGGAAGUGCUAGCAUGCCUGUUGCUGCAGCUCACUAACUCGGCACGUGUGCUGUGUUCGUCCCCAAAGCGCUUUCACUUCCACCAACUCAUUUCAUCUUCUGCAGCACUACGAAAGGGAAUGAAUGAGAGGUUGUUCUUCAUCCGCUGUGCAAGUGGCACGUCCACUUUGUGGGGUGGGCCUCCAUGGAGAACCUUCUGGAAUGAAAUCCCAUAUGUGCUUCCCAAGUCUUCUGGACUCGAGCAAUGGAAGAGCAGGGCACACACUCCAGACAAGAUUCACUGGGACCAGGCACAUGCUUUCACAAAGGAAGCCAUCUGAGCUGGUGGGAUGGCCCCAUUUUGUAGCUAAAUACACUGAAUCAAGAAGAGGAAAUAUAAUAGACCAAUGACCAGUGGGUCAAAAGAGAAACACAUUCCUACACAGACAUACUCAUCUGCCUUGUCUCUGGCAUAUACGAGGGUUUUCUCAUCUGCACACCUCCGCCAAUGACUUCCUGGAAGAGUUAGAGUGGUGUGCUCCCUUGACCUAUUCCUCUGUUGCUCCAGAAACCCAAGAGUAGAAACAGAUCAUUGUUUGUACAUUAGGGUUGUGGGGUGGAGUUGAGAGCUUCCCAGAAUCUCUCUCUGAACUCUGAGGUUUGGGUAAGCAGCUUCCUUGGAGUCAGCAGGCAAAUGCCCAAGGUUCUCUCCCACUGGAUCAGGAUGAUCUGGUCCUUGAGAACAGGUACAGCACAAAUAAGGAAAAGGGAAGGAGAGGACCAGGGGGAUAAGGAGCAAUGUAGACAGCAUGAGCCAUGUUUAGACAUCAGCGGCAAAGCAGAGUAGGUAGAAUUUGUACCAAUUGCCCAUCUGUGCACUUGUUAACUAUCAGAUACACCUAAUCUCAGCCAAUCUCCAGGUUCUUAAAAGGAUUAAAAAUAAAAAUACAUGGUGGAGAACCUGGCAGGAUGCCAGUUAGAGAGGGCACCAGCCAACACUGGGUCUCUUUGCUUUCCUGGGUUCCAUCUGUGAGCCAUCUUGAAGAAACAUCUAGAUACAGGUACAAAAGUAAUGUCCUCAUGUGAAGACCAAAGAUGAUCAAGAGUGGGAGGUGGAUGUGGGCACAAGAUGGACUCAGCUGGGCUUUCCUGCAAGCUAACCCCCUAGGGACUGGGGUAGGGAUGGCUGUCAUACUCUCAGCUAGAAUUAUGCUAUCCUACACCUCCACAGUUCAUAACUUAAAUAAGUUGUUUUAAUAGUCAAGGUAGAAUCUUGGAUGCAACAGAAAGCGUACCUGGCCUUGACCAAGUGCCCUCAUCCUCCUCACCCUGUUUUCUCAUUUGUGAACCCCAAACCAAGGCCUUCACAGACCCAUCUCUGAAUGCUGUCAUGGUUCUCCUUAUGCAGAGCUGGUGCCUCUUGCACUAUGGUUUCAGCUGGCUCUGUUUGAUGACAGCAAAAGACUGGGAUGGGUAGACCAGUUGGUGAAAGGGAUCUAAUUAGAGCAUCCAGUUCUAGCCACUCACAAAGCCAUAUCAUAAUCCAGGAACUUCUCAAGGUCAAAAACACCCCAUCCACAUCCUCUAGAGAUGAUCUGGAGUGACUGACUGUGACGUUCUCAGAAAGUGAAUUAGGAUUUCUUUAGAGGAGUACCAGAAAAGGCCACCAAGAAAUGCAGCCUAGAGGACCAGUAAAGCAGGGCCCUCAUCCCAUGGGUUCGUCCAGCUCCAUCUCUUCUGCUACGAACUCAUCAAGACUUCUAAAAGGGAAUUCUAUGUCCCACCUGUCCAGGGCUCUGCAGAGCUAAUUGUGCAGCUUCAGCUGGGGAGUCUAAAACAUCUUUCCAGGGUUCCACCUCAGGUCUGUGUGAAUCCAAGGGUUCCUAUGGGAUCUCUACAUAAGUGAAGGUCAGAAAAGAGCCUGAUGUGAGUAGGUUUCCGACAGAGAAGGAGAAAACCAGGGAGCAGUGUAGAGGCAGAGCCCUGAACAAAGAAGCUGAUGAGUUUACCAGAAGAAGACCUGAAGGUUUGGGGAGCCCUGCUGCCUGGGUGCUGGUAUACCUGGGUGCUCUGAGAUACCAUCACCCACCAGCCUGGCACAGUUCAGGGCACUGGUCUGGGGCCUGAGACAACAAUCAUGACCCCUGCAACACAGGACUGGGGACACAGUGUGCAGUUCAAUGUGUGCCCUGUGCACAACACAUUUGGCCACAGGGGAGGGACAUUUCCUUUGAAAAUCCAUGUGUCCACUGGGGUGUACUGGUCUAUGAAAGGUAACCUUUGCUAACCCAUGCAAA